UUACCUACCCUUGACAUGUCUGGAAUUCCGAAGAGAUUUGGAAGUGCUCGCAAGAGAACCGGAACACAGGUGCUGCAUGGCUGUCGUCAGCUCGUGUCGUGAGAUGUUGGGUUAAGUCCCGCAACGAGCGCAACCCUUGUCAUUAGUUGCUACGAAAGGGCACUCUAAUGAGACUGCCGGUGACAAACCGGAGGAAGGUGGGGAUGACGUCAAGUCCUCAUGGCCCUUAUGGGUAGGGCUUCACACGUCAUACAAUGGUCGGGACAGAGGGUCGCCAACCCGCGAGGGGGAGCCAAUCCCAGAAACCCGAUCGUAGUCCGGAUCGCAGUCUGCAACUCGACUGCGUGAAGUCGGAAUCGCUAGUAAUCGCGGAUCAGCAUGUCGCGGUGAAUACGUUCCC
rnacentral:rRNA from 1 species